rnacentral:rRNA from 1 species
GUAGGUGGCAAGCGUUGUUCGGAAUUAUUGGGCGUAAAGCGCGCGCAGGCGGUUCUUUAAGUCUGAUGUGAAAGCCCACGGGCUCAACCGUGGAGGGUCAUUGGAAACUGGAGAACUUGAGUACAGAAGAGGAAAGCGGAAUUCCACGUGUAGCGGUGAAAUGCGUAGAGAUGUGGAGGAACACCAGUGGCGAAGGCGGCUUUCUGGUCUGUAACUGACGCUGAGGCGCGAAAGCGUGGGGAGCAAACAGGAUUAGAUACCCUGGUAGCCCACGCCGUAAACGAUGAGUGCUAAGUGUUAGGGGGUUUCCGCCCCUUAGUGCUGCAGCUAACGCAUUAAGCACUCCGCCUGGGGAGUACGGCCGCAAGGCUG